UACAGAGGGUGCAAGCGUUGUUCGGAAUUACUGGGCGUAAAGGGCUCGUAGGCGGCCAACUAAGUCGGAUGUGAAAUCCCCAGGCUUAACCUGGGAACUGCAUCCGAUACUGGAUGGCUUGAAUCCGGGAGAGGGAUGCAGAAUUCCAGGUGUAGCGGUGAAAUGCGUAGAUAUCUGGAGGAAUACCGGUGGCGAAGGCGGCAUCCUGGACCGGCAUUGACGCUGAUGAGCGAAAGCUAGGGGAGCAAACGGG
rnacentral:rRNA from 1 species